AGCGAAGGCUGGCGGCAGGCCUAACACAUGCAAGUCGAACGGAUCCUUCGGGAUUAGUGGCGGACGGGUGAGUAACACGUGGGAACGUGCCCUUUGGUUCGGAACAACUCAGGGAAACUUGAGCUAAUACCGGAUGUGCCCUUCGGGGGAAAGAUUUAUCGCCAUUGGAGCGGCCCGCGUCUGAUUAGCUAGUUGGUGAGGUAAAGGCUCACCAAGGCGACGAUCAGUAGCUGGUCUGAGAGGAUGAUCAGCCACAUUGGGACUGAGACACGGCCCAAACUCCUACGGGAGGCAGCAGUGGGGAAUCUUGCGCAAUGGGCGAAAGCCUGACGCAGCCAUGCCGCGUGAAUGAUGAAGGUCUUAGGAUUGUAAAGCUCUUUUGCCCGGGAAGAUAAUGACGGUACCGGGAGAAUAAGCCCCGGCUAACUUCGUGCCAGCAGCCGCCGUAAGAC
rnacentral:rRNA from 1 species